CCGGUAAACGGCGGCCGUAACUAUAACGGUCCUAAGGUAGCGAAAUUCCUUGUCGGGUAAGUUCCGACCUGCACGAAUGGCGUAAUGAUGGCCAGGCUGUCUCCACCCGAGACUCAGUGAAAUUGAACUCGCUGUGAAGAUGCAGUGUACCCGCGGCAAGACGGAAAGACCCCGUGAACCUUUACUAUAGCUUGACACUGAACAUUGAGCCUUGAUGUGUAGGAUAGGUGGGAGGCUUUGAAGUGUGGACGCCAGUCUGCAUGGAGCCGACCUUGAAAUACCACCCUUUAAUGUUUGAUGUUCUAACGUUGACCCGUAAUCCGGGUUGCGGACAGUGUCUGGUGGGUAGUUUGACUGGGGCGGUCUCCUCCUAAAGAGUAACGGAGGAGCACGAAGGUUGGCUAAUCCUGGUCGGACAUCAGGAGGUUAGUGCAAUGGCAUAAGCCAGCUUGACUGCGAGCGUGACGGCGCGAGCAGGUGCGAAAGCAGGUCAUAGUGAUCCGGUGGUUCUGAAUGGAAGGGCCAUCGCUCAACGGAUAAAAGGUACUCCGGGGAUAACAGGCUGAUACCGCCCAAGAGUUCAUAUCGACGGCGGUGUUUGGCACCUCGAUGUCGGCUCAUCACAUCCUGGGGCUGAAGUAGGUCCCAAGGGUAUGGCUGUUCGCCAUUUAAAGUGGUACGCGAGCUGGGUUUAGAACGUCGUGAGACAGUUCGGUCCCUAUCUGCCGUGGGCGCUGGAGAACUGAGGGGGGCUGCUCCUAGUACGAGAGGACCGGAGUGGACGCAUCACUGGUGUUCGGGUUGUCAUGCCAAUGGCACUGCCCGGUAGCUAAAUGCGGAAGAGAUAAGUGCUGAAAGCAUCUAAGCACGAAACUUGCCCCGAGAUGAGUUCUCCCUGACUCCUUGAGAG
rnacentral:rRNA from 1 species